UUACAUCAAGCCUCAGGCUGGAGGCUAAUGUGGGCUAAUGAAAAGAAAAAAUGGCAUCGGGUAGAUACAACAAUCAAGGCCCUCAGCCAGCCAAUGCAUCUCUAGGCAACAAGUAUUGAUCUUGUACGUAAGCUCAUGUUUAUCAGGGUUGCUUAGGGGAAGAUCAUGCCUUUGGAAUUAGUGGACCGAGGUUUUCAAUUAGUGGUUCCGCCUGGCUGGUCUCUGACCGGCCCCCCUAAGUUUCUGGGCUAAUCAGAGCUGACUAGUCUGAGGAAACCAUCCAGAUGCUGGCCGGGUUCUCACUAGUUCCUGUUAUUUAUGUCAGCUGCAAGGACAUUCCAGCUGUGCUGCAUCCUUUGGUGCCUCAAAAUCCCUCUUUCCAUAAUGCAUGAUUGAGUUCUUUGCCUAAACUUGAAACCAAGAAAAGCCACUGUUGUGUGAUCACUUCAAAGCACCACGGGGAAAAAAUGAUGAAUGGAUCAUAUGAAUGGAGUUCUAGGACUAUGGAACACAACAGUGUUGCUUUUUUAUUUACCUCAUAUCGCAAAGUUUUCAGUCUUGAUGGGAUACAGACCCCUUCAAUAACCUGUUUUGUUAUACUAGGCUAUGAUUUGGCUUCAGAAUAACCAAACGUGAAUGUACAUGAGUACAUUAGUAAUUAUCAACAAUAUUACAAUUUUAAAUAUAUUAAAACAAUGUCAACAAAAUUACAUUUUUAGGAUGAGCUAUUCUUUAAUAGAUGAAGUGUGAAAUUUCUGAACCACUAUCACCAAACAUAAUUGCAAAAUAACUGUUAUCAAACAGGUUUCCUGCCUUUGGUCACAUGAUUGGUCAGAUAAACUAAUAGACCCACUUCACAUUUAACUCAUGCCCACUGGAAAAUUGCAGUUACAUUAUACUGUUGUAGACCGAGCAAGAAUGGAAGACGUUAUUAUUGUAAUAUUAUUUGCUUUGUACUGUAAUUUUUUCUCAAUGUAGAAUGAGAAAUAUCCUCUACCACACUGUCUCUCAUCAUGCGCUAAUGUGUUUUGGAGGAAGCGUGGCUUUGGAGAGUGAUUUGCAAGGAGGGAUCUUAUGCUAUCAAAGCUAGCUUGCUAUUGCUAGCCUCCCUGAAAUCAUCUAUUCUACUUGUUAAUGCUUUAUUGCAUUAGAAAAUACUGUAGGUGCUUCUACAAGUCUUUAAGUUUUAUCAUCGUGACUAGGAUCAUAGAAGAUUACUCCACUACCAGGUGUGCUACCAAGCAAGUUUACCAUGUCAGAAGAUCCAACAAUAGAGCUGGUUAUCUCAAGCAAAUCGUCCCCUUGGAAUUAUAAGGUUCUAUCUGACAUUUUUGUCAAAAUUGAGUUAUUCACAUAUUCUUAUUCUGUGUCAACGUAUUUACAUUAUGUGAUAUAUUUUUUUAUGUUGUGUAUAUCAUGGGACUUUUUAUUUAAAAAACAAUAAGGUUCUAUCUACACAGUCGAAUGGAACACAAAAACUUUGAAGCUCAAUAUCUCAAAACUACUCGGAAUGCAGAUAGAACCUUAUAAUUCCAAGGGGACGAAAUGUCAAAAUAUAUUAAUUUACAAAUCAUGCACUAUGCUAAAAGAGUUCACAGGUCAUAAUGUAGUCCUGCACAAAAAUAAUUAUAUAUGUGUAUUCUGCCUGUAAUUAUAAUUUGUGUGGAAAAGUAAUAAACAAUGUUAUUGUUUUACCGUCA